AACGAACGCUGGCGGCAUGCCUAACACAUGCAAGUCGAACGAGACCUUCGGGUCUAGUGGCGCACGGGUGCGUAACGCGUGGGAACCUGCCCUUAGGUUCGGAAUAACUCCCCGAAGGGGGUGCUAAUACCGGAUAAUGUCUUCGAACCAAAGAUUUAUCGCCUUAGGAUGGGCCCGCGUGGGAUUAGCUAGUUGGUAGGGUAAAAGCCUUCCAAGGCGAAGAUCCAUAGCUGGUCUGAGAGGAUGAUCAGCAACACUGGGACAGAGACACGGCCCAGACCCUUAGGGAUGGAAGAAAUGCUGAAUGUGGAACGACGGGCGAGUGAAUAAUGUAGCCAUGCCGCAAAAGUCAUUAAGUAGUGAAGAACGUUAAGCAGAGUUAACAGCGAAGAUAAUGACGGUAACUACACAAUAAGCGCCGGCUAACUACGUG
rnacentral:rRNA from 1 species